AAACCCCACCCUCCAAGAGCCGGAAUCCAACCCAGCUUUCCCCUUAGUACAGCUCGGCUCCGCCCUCUUGCCGUCUAGAUGACUGCCCUACCCACUCGGGGGAUUGUGCUGGCGUGGUCCUGGGUGCCCCAGCCUGUGCCCCCCUAUGGCACAGCGUGUGCGGGUCGCAAUCUGGAAAAUCCCAAGAUCUCUAGGGGGGCAGGGCAGGGCCGAUGUGCUCCGUGGGGUUAAAAGUGUUCCCUGAGUGAGACUAGACUCCUAAAUGGCUGAGCCAUACCGAGGAUGAGCGUCCAUGUGCUCCCCUGAAGAGAGCGGCGACCACCGGCUUGCCUCCUAGGGCAGCAGGAAAAGAGCGAUCCCACGGCGGGCGCGUGCCAGCAAGCUGAGAAAAAGAUCUUCGCAAAACAUUUUGGAUGCGGGACUUGUAUCAGGAUGUGAAAAACUCCUGCGACCAGAGAGCAAAGAAAGCAUCGAGCCAAUGAAAAUGCGUGAAGGAUUCGAACAGAGAAGAUGCCCAUGGGAAGCAAAGCAACAGCCUCACUGCUGCUUGAGGUGCAGGAAGGCAUUGCCCCUCCUUCAGCCACCACCGUGUGGACCAUGUUCUGAUGGUCGUUGCCACUACAUAAGCACAGAGAGCCCGUGGCCAAAGCUUGCAUUCCAGCUCCAUAUUGACAGUGAACACCUACAUCGACCAGACCCCAGGCAAGGCUGGCAGCCACACAGGACCAUGUGUCUCUUCUUGUCCAUCCCCCAGAUGUCUCCUCAUUUGAGCAACACCCUGCGGGCCCAAACUCUUCCAUGUUCUUUUGAUGCUGCUCUUGCCACAGAAAAGGUGGGACAGGCCAGCGGUCUGGUGUCCCUGAUUGUCCACAGUUUGAGGCAUUAGACUCUGGACUCAGCCUCAUGAUGGUCACAUCCCAACUGUCACCAAGGAGGUCCACUGUGCAAAGUCCUCAGGUGCUCUCAGACCAUGACCUGCAUCUUAUGGCCCUAGACUCUGGUAGGCAAGAGGAGCAGAUCAGGUAACAUACAGGAAGCUGAGCACGAGAAGUGCUGACUCAAUGCUGUUUCUAGUACCUUCUCCUGAGAGGAUUCUUGGGAAAGAGAGGAAAAAAAAAAAUAGCAACACAGUCACUCAGAGGUUUGAGAAUUUGAAGGUGACCUAGAACCUACAGCUGAGACAAAGAUAUUCUACUUAUAAUUUUUUAAUAUAUUUAAAUUUUAUUUGUUUAUAUAUUGUAAUACUAGAGAUUUGAACUGCCAUGCAAGUGUUCUAUAACUGAACUACACCUCCAGGGCUACCCAGAGAGCCCUGUCUCAAAAUAAAAAAUAAAAAUAAAAAUAAUAAAAGAACAAAUAUAGACUUGUAUUUAUGGG
rnacentral:lncRNA from 1 species